UACGUAGGGGGCAAGCGUUGUCCGGAUUUAUUGGGCGUAAAGAGCUCGUAGGCGGUUUGGUAAGUCGGAUGUGAAAUCUCCAGGCUCAACCUGGAGGGGUCAUUCGAUACUGCCAUGACUAGAGUUCGGUAGGGGAGUGUGGAAUUCCUGGUGGAGCGGUGAAAUGCGCAGAGAUCAGGAGGAACACCCGUAGCGAAGGCGGCACUCUGGGCCGAUACUGACGCUGAGGAGCGAAAGCGUGGGAGCGAACAGG
rnacentral:rRNA from 1 species